CCUACGGGUGGCAGCAGUGGGGGAUAUUGCACAAUGGGGGAAACCCUGAUGCAGCGACGCCGCGUGGGUGAAGAAGUAUUUCGGUAUGUAAAGCCCUAUCAGCAGGGAAGAAAGAAGACGGUACCUGACUAAGAAGCCCCGGCUAACUACGUGCCAGCAGCCGCGGUAAUACGUAGGGGGCGAGCGUUAUCCGGAUUCACUGGGUGUAAAGGGAGCGUAGACGGCCGUGCAGGCCAGGAGUGAAAGCCCGGGGCCCAACCCCGGGACUGCUCGUGGAACUGUGCGGCUGGAGUGCGGGAGGGGCAGGCGGAAUUCCUGGUGUAGCGGGGAAAUGCGUAGAUAUCAGGAGGAACACCGGCGGCGAAGGCGGCCUGCUGGACCGCGACUGACGUUGAGGCUCGAAAGCGUGGGGAGCGAACAGGAUUAGAUACCCCUGUAGUC
rnacentral:rRNA from 1 species